UUAAUUGCGGCUGUCAGCCUCAGAGCACUCACACUCUGAGAUCCUGGCAUCGACCAUGUGAGAAACGACAUAUGCAAAGCUUUGCGCAUAUGGGCGUAGAAUGAAGCUACUGAAACCGUCAGGAUGUCUGUUUCCGGGCGGCGGAGGGAAUGAAAAAGAACAGACUAUGAUAGUAGAAGAACAGGGAAUUGGUUUCUGGACACGGGUUCAAAUCCCGUCUGCUCCAUCA
rnacentral:tmRNA from 1 species